GAUGGGUCGGUGGUGGUGUCGGAUGUGGUGGAGGUGGUGAAGGGCGGGUGUGGGAAGUCUUUUGCUCCGUUCCCGGCGGGAUGUAUGUUCCACAGUGUCGGUGGCCUAAAGAGUUUCGAGCAUCCCUUGAACAAGAUGAAGGCGAUGCCAAGGGUAGAUAGUGAAGGAGUGAUGUGCGGAGCAAGCUUCAAAGUCGACAAAUACUCGAGGAUCAACAGCAUGCCCCGAGUCGGGAGUGCCACGAACUGGGCCGACCUCAUGGGAUGAAGAAAUUUACCAAUGACUGCGGAGAUCAUUCGUAAACAACAAUGGAGACUGCUAGUUCUUGCUUGGUUGCAGUGGCUGCUUAAGAUGUUGGGUAGCUUGGUUUUAGCUUCCUUUUUACUAUGCUUUUGAAUCUUACAUUCAACUUGUACAUUUGAACCUCCU
rnacentral:misc_RNA from 1 species